AGAAGGAAAACAAAAAGAUGCCUUAGUUCCAUGGAAGGCUGCUCUGAGGGAUAUUCUGCUAAGUGGCAUCCAGACAGAACACGGAGAAGCUCCUCGAUUGCGUCUCUCCCCUGCCUUAUUGUUUCCUGCUGCCCUUGACACUCCACUGUUUGGGCUAUUGCAAGGUUAGAAGGAUGCUCACGACCAACGAGACAGAGUCCUUUGCAUAUGGCCUUGAGGAUGUGUGCUUCUGAAAUCUAACAAACAGAGUUUCGCUCUUGUUGCACAGGCUGGAGUGCAAUGGCACGAUCUUGGCUCACCUCCUCCUCUGCGUCCUGUGUUCAAGCGAUUCUCCUGCCUCUCCUGGGAUUACGGGCAUGUGCCACCAUGCCCGGCCAAUUUUGAACACAGACAGCCUGCGUCCAGAAUCCCUGCUCUUUCCCUGUAUACCACAUGGCCUCCUGUGCACGAUCCAGAGGAGACAUCCAGGUGUUGGAUACAUGGGCCCGGGGUGCAGCAGAAAAGCAUUGCCCCAGUGCACAGCCAUAUCCAUAUGCCGUUGGCGCAUGGAUUGGAACAAAACCAUGGAACUCGAUGAAGGUAUGGCCUAAGAAGAUCAAGAAGCUAAGGAGGACCAGCAUUAUAGGGUGGGCCAGAAGAGUAGAUCCAACAAGUGUUAACCUAUGGGAGAAUGUCAGGGUAAAGCAGGUUGUCAACAUGACCCUAUGCCAUAGAGACAUCAGGGCUGAUUAAUGUAUCAGAGAAAGACAGAGAGAGUAAAGGAGAGAGAGACUGAUAUGGUUUGGCUGUGUCCCCACCCAAAUCUCAUCUUGAAUUGUAAUCCCCAGGAUUGCCACAUAUCAAGGGGGAGGGAUCCAGUGGGAGGUUAUUGGAUCAUGGAGGUGGUUUCCCCAUGCUGUUCUCGUGAUAGUGAGUGAGUUCUCAUGAGAUCCGAUGGUUUUAUAAGGCAGUUUUCCCUGCUCUUGCACGCUGUCUCUGUCUCCUGCCAUCAUGUAAGACAUGCCUCUUCCCCUUCUGCCAUGAUUGUAAGUUUCCUGACAUCUCCCCAGCCAUGGGGAACUGAGUCAGUUAAAUCUCUUUUCUUUAUAAAUUGCUCAGUCUCAGGUAGUAUCUUUAUAGCAAUGUGAGAAUGGAGUAAUACACAGGCUCAGAAAAGUUCCUUGCAUUUGGCAAUUGAGAGAAUAAUGGGAUGAUGACUUCUGUCAGAAAAGUUUGUGAUCAGGAGGUGGGGGUGGAAUUCUGACUUGGGUGGGCCAGAGGAACUCAACGGUGGAAAAAUAAGUGGUGACAUCAUAAAUUGACACCUGUGAGAGAUGGCGGAUGAACUGAAUAAAGUGUAGGGUAUUUAGCUUGUCAUGAUUGUCCCUGAGAAACAGGUUGCAGGAAUGCUACUUGCAUUGAAUAAUUUUAUUAGUUAUCAUUUAAUUCCUUUAAAUUGAUUUCUUUAGUUCCCUAUCAGAGACAAGCUCAAACUACACACAAUGAAUACAUCACGGACUUCUCCUUCUCUUUAUUUCGCUUCACUCUGGGCAAAUGAAAGACAACAAAUAAAUAUUGUGGAUCUUGGUAUUUAAUGGUUUAUAAUCAGAUAAUUGUUCACUGUCCAGUACUCACUGUUCCUAAUGCCCCCUAAUCCUUCAGGCAUCACAGAUAUGAAGUGGAUUUGGUAUCUGAUGCCUUUCUUUUUUUUGUUUGUCAAAUGAAUGAAUGAAUGAACCUAGUCCAAUCAUCUGUUUCCAAAAAGGAUGCCGCAAAGUACACUGGAAUAAGAUUCUAACUUCAGGCCUCUGAAUUAUCUGAAAGCCUACUCUAGUGUUUAAUCACCUGAAUCAUCAGGGAGUUUCUUCUUCAAUUUCAUGUAAUUAUAAUAUUUUCAAACCAUUUGCUCUAGAUUGGCCUUCAGGAGAGGGCCAGAAAUCAGCCUCCUGCAGCCUGCAAAGUUGGUGCCAGGCUGCUCCAUUGCUCAUUCCUGGAUUCCUGGAUGGAAACUCUCAACCCAACCUCAUGCUGCCUCCAAAGCCUCCCUCCCCUGCCACGUGUCUUCUCCCUCCAGGCCUCCACUUGGGCAGGGUGAAUGGGCUCUCCUCUCACCAGUAUCUGCUCUCAACAGCAGCAGCCUCUUCUCCUUCGCUAAAUCAAUCCCUAAAUCAAUCCCCAUCUACUUUGCAUUUGAAAAACAUGAAAAAAACGUGGCCCUUGAUAUCACCUGUUUUAUUUUUUGUUUUUGUUGUUUACGCCUUUGCAAUUUUUUCCCUCUAUAAUUGUAGUAGGG
rnacentral:lncRNA from 1 species